rnacentral:siRNA from 1 species
GGAUAGUGCGACCAUAAGAGUUGU